UACGUAGGUGGCGAGCGUUGUCCGGAUUUACUGGGCGUAAAGAGCGCGCAGGCGGUCGUUCAAGUCGCGUGUGAAAGCCCCCGGCUCAACUGGGGAGGGUCACGCGAUACUGAUCGACUCGAAGGCAGGAGAGGGAAGUGGAAUUCCACGUGUAGCGGUGAAAUGCGUAGAGAUGUGGAGGAACACCAGUGGCGAAGGCGACUUCCUGGCCUAUAACUGACGCUGAGGCGCGAAAGCCAGGGGAGCAAACGGG
rnacentral:rRNA from 1 species